rnacentral:tRNA from 4 species
CAGUAGCUCAGUGGUAGAGCUAUCGGCUGUUAACCGAUCGGUCGUAGGUUCGAGUCCUACCUGUGGAGCCA